AACGAACGCUGGCGGCAUGCCUAACACAUGCAAGUCGAACGAGACCUUCGGAUCUAGUGGCUCACGGGUGCGUCACGCGUGGGAACCUGCCCUUAGGUUCGGAAUAACUCCCCGACAGGGGUGCUAAUACCGGAUAAUGUCUUCGGACCAAACAUUUAUCGCCUUUGGAUGGGCCCGCGUUGGAUUAGCUAGUUGGUAGGGUAAAAGCCUACCAAGGCGACGAUCCAUAGCUGGUCUGAGAGGAUGAUCAGCCACACUGGGGCUGAGACACGGCCCAGACUCCUACGGGAGGCAGCAGUGGGGAAUAUUGGACAAUGGGCGAAAGCCUGAUCCAGCAAUGCCGCGUGAGUGAUGAAGGCCGGAGGGUUGUAAAGCUCUUUUACCCGGGAUGAUAAUGACAGUACCGGGAGAAUAAGCGCCGGCUAACUCCGUG
rnacentral:rRNA from 1 species